rnacentral:tRNA from 1 species
GCCCUCGUGGUGUAAUGGCCAAGCACGCUCGGCACGUAUUCCAGAGAUCCGUGGUUCGAGUCCCGGCGAGGGCA